GGCUUUUUGAUGAUAAUUUAAGGUCUAGCCUGCCCAAUGAGGUGUAUUAAAUGGCCGCGGUAUUUUGACCGUGCAAAGGUAGCAUAAUCAUUAGUUCUUUAAUUGAGAGCUUGUAUGAAGGGUUUGAUGAGAAAAUAGUUGUCUCUAUCUUAAUUUUUUAGAAAUUUAUUUUUAAGUUAAAAAGCUUAAAUUUGUAUUAAAGACGAGAAGACCCUAUAGAGUUUUAUAGUUUUGUGAAAUUAUUAUACUUUAGGAUUAUUUUAAUAGUUUUGGGAGAUUAUUUGAUUGGGGUGAUUUAAAAAUUAGAUAAACUUUUUUAUAGUAAAUUUCAUUGAUUUAUGAAUUUUUGAUCCUUAUAAAAGAUUAUUAGAUAAAAUUACCUUAGGGAUAACAGCGUAAUUUUUUUUAGAGUUCUUAUCGAAAGAAAAGAUUGCGACCUCGAUGUUGGAUUAAAAUUAAUUAUUGGUGUAGAGGCUAGUAUGUUUAGGUCUGUUCGACCUUUAAAUUUUUACAUGAUCUGAGUUUAGACCGGCGUGAG
rnacentral:rRNA from 1 species